UUCGGCGGCUAUAGCGAGAGGGAAACGCCCGGUCACAUUCCGAACCCGGAAGCUAAGACUCUCAGCGCUGAUGGUACUGCAGGGGGGACCCUGUGGGAGAGUAAGACACCGCCGGAC
rnacentral:rRNA from 7 species